AAAACAAACUCGUUUUCCUGGCACUAUAGUGCCCUGAGGGUGCCCCCACCCUCAGGGUUCCCCUCCCGCCAGACUCUGGGGGGAGGAAGGGGUUAAACUUACCUCUUUCUCCAGCGCCGGGCGGGGAGCUCUCCUCCUUCUCUCCGCCUCCUCUCCUCCUCUUCGUCUGAAUGCGCAUGCGCGGCUGGAGCUGCGCGCGCAUUCAGCCAGUCCAUAGGAAAGCAUUCACAAUGCUUUCCUAUGGAUGCUG